GUGUCAGCAGCCGCGGUAAAACGUAGGAGGCGAGCGUUAUCCGGAUUUACUGGGCGUAAAGCGUGCGCAGGCGGCUUCGUGAGUCGGAUGUGAAAGCUCCUGGCUUAACUGGGAGAGGCCAUUCGAUACUGCGAGGCUUGAGGUUGGGAGAGGGGUGCGGAAUUCCCGGUGUAGUGGUGGAAUGCGUAGAGAUCGGGAGGAACACCUGUGGCGAAAGCGGCACCCUGGCCCACACCUGACGCUGAGGUACGAAAGCGUGGGUAGCAAACAGGAUUAGAUACCCCGGUAGUCC
rnacentral:rRNA from 1 species